ACACGUAUGUGUGCGCCCAUGCAUGUUUUUGUGUGGGUGUGUGCACGCGUGCGUCUGUGCAUUGUGCAGUGUGCGUUGGGUGCACACGUGCAUGCGUGUGCCUUGUGUUGUGCGUGUGUGUGUGUGUGUGUGCGCGCGCGCGCGUGCCUGACCGCGGCGUGCGUGCCGGCGGGAGGAGGGGGCGCCGAGGCCGGGCAAGGGAUUUAAAGCUGCUUUCGCGGCUGCCGGCGUGAGCGCUCCUGAUAAACAGCCCGGAGCCGAGCCGCCGCGCAGCCGGGCGGGAGGCUGCGUAUCAGAGCUCCUGGCAGGCUCGCAAAAAGCUGUCCCCGGCCCGCCGCCGCUCUAUCAGCCCACGGAGGGAGGGCGGCGGGGGAGGGAGGGAAAAAGUAUUUGCUUCAGCCCUUAAUCACGGAAUUUGAAAUCCCAGCGAGUCGGUGCCAUUUAUUUUCAGAGGCUGUCAAGGCUGGUUUCAGCAUUUAAAAGAAAGGAGGAUAAAAAGCAUUUGCAUUUCUCCCCCACUCUCGCUGCGCGCUCGCCGGCGCUCCCCCUCGUUCUCUGCGCAGCUCGCCGGUCGGGCUUUGGCGGGGGAGGCCGGAGGCUUUUCAAGGUGCUGGGGGCUCCGGCCGGCCCGGUGGGGGCCUGCCCCCACCAGGGUCGGGGUGUCGGACGAUUCCAGGGUGGGGGCCCGAGUCUGGUCCAGCGGUGCUCUGGGUGGCAGAGGGAGGAAGGUUAAGGGGGGCUGCUGGCUUGGGGAAGUUGGGGGCCGUCCGCGGGGGCUCUCCUCGAGCUCCAAGCUUUCACCCCAGAAAACAGCCCUGGACCCCAAAUUUGCUCCAGCCCCAGGGGGCCCUACCUGCCCUUCCUGGCUUCCCCAGUGGAAAUCUAAGAUACUGGAGGCUUCCAGGGGAGCCAGGGCACCCCUAGGACAACCCCCUCCCCCAGCAGAUGGGGAAACUGAGGCCUGGAAAGAGAGAACAGUGGGGCCAAGGUCACAUGAUGGCGGAAGGAGGACAAGGAGGGAGGCUGACUGCGUAGCCAGCAUGUGUUCCAUGCCAAGCCUGUGCGGGGGGCCAAGGACCGGGAUCUCUGGACGGCGCUGCUUGCUCGGUCCCACGCUGGGCGACAGGGCCUUUGCAGUCAGGCCGACAGGGUUUGAACCCUUGCCACGGCACUUUCCAGAUGGCCUUGGCCACUGUCCCCUCUCUGACCUUGAGAUGGAGCCCACCGCACCUGCGGAGAGGGUGUGUGCUUCAAGGACCAAAUCCACUUGUGUAUGGUUUGGGGAGUCGCACUGA
rnacentral:lncRNA from 1 species